rnacentral:rRNA from 1 species
CUGAACGCAGCGACUACCGCGGUGAGGGACCAUUGCCUUCGGGAUUGUAAACCUCUUUUAGUAGGGAAGAAGCGAAAGUGACGAGUACCUGCAGAAAAAGCACCGGCUAACUACGCUGCCAGCAGCCGCGGUAAUACGUAGGGUGCAAGCGUUGUCCGGAAUUAUUGGGCGUAAAGAGCUCGUACGCGGUUUGUCGCGUCUGCUGUGAAAACCCUAGGCUCAACCUCGGGCCUGCAGUGCCGUACGGGCAGACUAGAGUGCGGUAGGGGAGAUUGGAAUUCCUGGUGUAGCGGUGGAAUGCGCAGAUAUCAGGAGGAACACCGAUGGCGAAGGCAGAUCUCUGGGCCGUAACUGACGCUGAGGAGCGAAAGGGUGGGGAGCGAACAGGAUUAAAUACCCUGGUAGUCCACGCCGUAAACGUUGGGAACUAGAUGUGGGGGCCAUUCCACGGCUUCCAUGUCGCAGCUAACGCAUUAAGUUCCCCGCCUGAGGAGUACGGCCGCAAGGCUAAUACUCAAAGGAAUUGACGGGGACCCGCACAAGCGGCGGAUCAUGCGGAUUAAUUCGAUGCAACAGCGAAGAACCUUACCAAGGCUUGACAUAUACAAAGAACUGGGUGGAAACAGUCCCCCCACUAGGCAUGUAUACAGGGGGGUGCUUGGUGUGUCUCCAUCUCGUGUUACGAGAUGUUGGGUUAUCGCCCGCAAAGAGCGCACCCCUCGUUCUAUUUUUGUNNNNANUNNAUUGNGGGGCAACNCANGUGACUCCCGGGUUCAAUUCGGAGGAAGGGGGGGAUGACUUCAAAUCUUCAUGCCCCUUUUUUUUUGGGCUUCCCCCAUGGUCCAAUGGCCGGUACAAAGGGGUGCACUACCGCAAGGGGGAGGGAAUCCCAAAAAACCGGUCUCAUUUUGGAUUGGGGUGUGCAAUUUGCCUCCAGGAAUUGGGGGUUGUUAGUAAUCGUGGAUCAGCAACGCCCCGGUGAAUACGUUCCCGGUCCUUGUACACGCCGCCCGUCAAUUCAUGAAAGUGGGUAACACCGGAAGCCAGUGGCCCAACCGCAAGGAGGGAGCUGUCGAAGGUGGGAUUGGUGAUUAGGAGCU